CAAAUUCUCUGACACUGGUGCAUCUACAUCUAUUUCAGCAGCAGGAUUAUGAUGGUGUGGAGCAGUCUUUGUUGGUGAUGGUGUAUGCAGUAUGUGACUGCACAGGAACUGACUCCUCAGGCUUUCUGAAGGAACUGGAAUUAAAUUAGACUCUUCUCAGGUAGGAAAUCUGUAACAAAAUGUCUGAAGCUUUUGGUCUUCAACAUGAGAGCAGAA
rnacentral:lncRNA from 1 species